rnacentral:tRNA from 1 species
GCCUCUGUAGUUCAAUGGAUAGAACAUUUGACUUCUAAUCAAAAGAUACAGGUUCGACUCCUGUCAGGGGUACUA